GAUGGGUCCGCGUCUGAUUAGGUAGUUGGCGGGGUAACGGCCCACCAAGCCCACGAUCAGUAGCCGGCCUGAGAGGGCGGACGGCCACACUGGGACUGAGACACGGCCCAGACUCCUGCGGGAGGCAGCAGUGGGGAAUAUUGCACAAUGGGGGGAACCCUGAUGCAGCGACGCCGCGUGAAGGAAGAAGUAUCUCGGUAUGUAAACUUCUAUCAGCAGGGAAGAAAGAGGACGGUACCUGACUAAGAAGCCCCGGCUAACUACGUGCCGGCAGCCGCGGUAAUACGUAGGGGGCGAGCGUUAUCCGGAUUUACUGGGUGUAAAGGGAGCGUAGACGGCCAUGCAAGCUCGGUGUGAAAGGUGCGGGCACAGCCCGCAGACUGCACUGAGAACUGUAUGGCUGGAGUGCCGGAGGGGCAGGCGGAAUUCCUGGUGUAGCGGUGAAAUGCGUAGAUAUCAGGAGGAACACCGGUGGCGAAGGCGGCCUGCUGGACGGCGACUGACGUUGAGGCUCGAAAGCGUGGGGAGCGAACAGGAUUAGAUACCCUGGUAGUCCACGCCGUAAACGAUGUAUACCAGGUGUCGGGCAUCAAGGAUGGCCGGUGCCGUAGCAAACGC
rnacentral:rRNA from 1 species